UUGUGGCAAUAUCACGUUUAAACACCGGUUCCCUUACGAUCACCGAAGUUAAGCAACGUCGAGUAUGGUCAGUACCUAUAUGGGUGACCGCUUCAGAAUACCAGGUGAUGUAAG